AAUAUACAGAGGAUGAACUGCUGCUUCUAAAAGCUGAGCGAACAUGAAGAGAGGCUGAAACGUUAGAGCAGAUGGAAGGCAAGAGAGUGAGGUUGGCGUGACUUUGACGCUGCAAACAUGGAGCUUGGAGCCAAGCUAUGCAGACAUAGAUGGAUUGUUUACCCAAAAUCAACUGGAAACGUCCCCGGCCAACUGGACCAAACCAACAACUGUCCAUUGAUGGCCCCACCUACCCCUCUACCCCGCUCAGGAGGCAGUCCUAAGGAGAAGACGAAGAAGAAGGAGGAGGAGGAGGGGUCAGAUUCCCCUCCCUCAGCCCAGCCGACACACAUACAUCCACUCUUUCUGGCUUCAUACAUGCGCUCUGCUCCACGAGGGAGCAUCUGCUGACGAGACCACGCCAGCUUCUGCAGGUGUCCCACCCUCUUCCUCCUCACGGAUGCUUUAAGACGUGUGUACAUGGAGAGGAGCCAAGAUGGAAGUGUCGCCCGCCCCCCCACUCCCCAGCGCGGGAUGUCAUCACUAAACGUGUUCCAGGAGGUCAAAGGUCAAAGCGGUGACCUCAAGGAGAGAGCGACAGAGAGGCCACCCUGACAUUUGACCUCUAACCGGGCGUGUGCGGCUUAACCCUGGAGGACACCGCACAACAAUGGCUAGGCACGUGCCUGGGCCUGGUCGCCAUGGUAACAAAGGACCUUUAGGGACCAGAAGUAAAAAAAAAAAAAAAAAAGGGGGGGUAUGUACAGGUCAUAGCUUAGUCUUUAUUGUGAUCUGUGUUAACCAUCUGCUGCCAAUUGACUAGGAUAUAGUAGGACACAUCCUUUGAAGGGGGGCUGACUGAGUAAUCUCUGCAGGCAACUGUGAAGGUGCUUUUUAAUUCUCACAAUCACCUGGAGAGAUUCUGCAGUUUGUCUCAUAACGGGAUCAUAAAUCAUCUUAUUGGGAUUAACAAGCAACGCACAACCUCAGCGGGCAUGAGUCUUACAUGUCAAAAUACGGGAAUAUAUUCAAAUUCAUGCAGACGUGCUUGUAGUUUGCAACAUGUAGAAAUGCACUGUAUCAUACUGAGAGCAGUUUCUGGUAUUUUGCUUAUAUAGUAUAUAACACGGUGUAUCGCUGCUAACCCCAAUAACAAAAAUGUUAUUCAUCUUUACACAAAAGGCAGAAAAAUCAUGUGAUUUCUCUUAGCCAACCAGCAAAAAGAGGUAAUCAUAGUAAUUCAAGCUUUGCAAAGAAAUCUCAUGAAAGAUAGGCGUAUUAUGUACAUAUCCUAGAUAUAACUAACUAUAUUGUUAAAAAUGUAGAAAACUGACAUUUUGGGGAUUAAAAUGAAGUGUUUUAAGAUGAUCUUCUACACCAAAUAUAUAGUAGUAUUUCUUCCUACAAUUAGAUUUAGUGUGGAAAAAGUAAUUUUAAGGAGAGACAAAAUAAAUGUGCAAUGCUACAAAUAUAAAUUGUUAAAAAAUGAUUUAUGAUAUGGGUACGGUACUUGUAUUAUUUGGGCUGUUGCUGGAGGGUUUACACUUUGGAACAUCAUUGGCUUUGUUUCGUCAUUUGAGCGGCACGUGGAUGUAUAAAAUAAUAUGUAAUUUUCAUUUGGUUCAAUGUUCAUAUUUGGUUGAUAAAAUUGUGACUUUUUCAAUCCCCUCUCCCUCAAAAAAUAUUAUUUCCAGGAAAAAAAGGUACUAUAACUAUACUUUUUAAAUACAUUGGAAACAAUUAUAAAAAAUAUUGCUUUAUUUUCUUAUAUUAAACUUGUUUUUUAUUUAAAUAUGACUUUUCAUGAAAUAUAAAAAAACUUGUUUUUCAAGACAAAAAUACUACAGUGCUUUGCUCUUUGACUAUUACUGCAAAACAUUCAAGAAAAAAACAACUGUUUACAAAAACACGUUUUCCUUAAAAAAGUACAAAUUUAAUUAUCGAAUUAUUACCUAAAAAAACCACAACCUUUUUUCAAGAAAAAAAAUUACUUCAUUUUCUAGAUAUUACAAAAACAUUGUUUUUUGUAGAACACUAAUUUAUUAAUUAAAUAUUAUGACAAAUCUUUGACAUUUGUUCUUGAAAAGGCUUGAUUCUCUAAAUAUUUCAAAACACUUUUUUAUGAUAAAGUAAAACUUUAUUCAUUAAAUAUUGGAAAGAAAACCACAUUUUGUUUUUCGUACAUGCUUUUUCAACUCCCCAGAAAACUUUAUUUCCAGAAAAAUGGUAUUCUACUGUACUUUUUAAAUGUAUUUGGAAACAAUUAUGAAAACAUAUUGCUUUAAUCUUUUCAUAUUAUAAUUUUUUUUAUUUAAAUGUGACUGUUCAUUAAAUAUAAAAACUUGUUUUUCAAGACAAAACUAUUAUUUUGUUCUACUAUUACAAAACAUGUUCAAGAUAAAAACCCCACUAUGACUUUGUACUGGUUAAUACAGAAUCCCUACAUUUCUUCUAGAAAAAUUAGUUAUCUAAAUAAUACAAAUAAAAAUCUAAGAAAAAUAUGACUUCAUUUAAAAGUAUAAAAAACCCACACCACAUUUCUUUUAGAACAUUUAUUUUAUUCUUUAAAUAUUAAGGGAAAAAAACUUCUGAAGAAAAAUAACACUUUAUUCAUUAAAUAAAAAUUAAAAAAACACAUUUCUUCUUGAAGAAAUACUUAAUUCUUCUUUAGUCUUUAAAUAUUACAAAAACAUUUUUUUAAAUCACUUUGUUCUCCAAAUAUUACACAAACCUUCUUUAGAAAAAUAUGACUAUUCAUGAAAUAUUACAAAAAAAACCCUCAAUUCUUCUUGGAGAAAAUAAAUAGUUGACUCUCUAAAUAUUGCAAAAAAACUUGUCGAAAAAUAUAACUUUGGUCUUUAAAUAUUACAAAAAAUUUUUUUUUAAAUCACUUUAUUCUCCAAAUAUUACAAAAAACUUUUUUAGAAGAAAAAAAACCGACUAUUCAUUAAAUAUUACAAAAAACACAUUUCUUGUUGAAAAAAUACUUGACUCUCUAAAUGUGUCGAAAAAUAUAACUUUAGUCUUGAAAUAUUACAAAAACAUCUUUUUAAAAUCACUUUAUUGUCCAAAUAUUACAUAAACCUUCUUUAGACAAAUAUGACUAUUUAUUAAAUAUUACAAAAAAACAACAUU